UACAGAGGUCCCAAGCGUUGUUCGGAUUCACUGGGCGUAAAGGGUGCGUAGGCGGUCGGGUAGGUCUGAUGUGAAAUCUCACAGCUUAACUGUGAAACUGCAUUGGAUACUAUUCGGCUUGAGAGUUGGAGGGGGGACUGGAAUUCUUGGUGUAGCAGUGAAAUGCGUAGAUAUCAAGAGGAACACCAGUGGCGAAGGCGAGUCCCUGGACAACUUCUGACGCUGAGGCACGAAAGCUAGGGGAGCAAACAGG
rnacentral:rRNA from 1 species